rnacentral:rRNA from 1 species
AGCCCGCCGAAAGGCGGAUUAAUACCGCAUGUGGACAUGACUUCGCAUGUUGUCAUGUCUGAAGCAGCGAUGCGCCUCAGGAUGGGCUUGCGGCCUAUCAGCUAGUUGGUGUGGGUAACGGCUCACCAAGGCGACGACGGGUAGCUGGUCUGAGAGGAUGGUCAGCCGGAUCGGGACUGAGACACGGCCCGGACUCCUACGGGGGGCAGCAAUUAGGAAUCUUGCGCAAUGGGCGAAAGCCUGACGCAGCGACGCCGCGUGACUGAUGAAGUCCUUCGGGAUGUAAAGGUCUUUUUUGGGGGAAGAAGGAUGUGACGGUACCCCAAGAAUAAGCCCCGGCUAACUACGUGCCAGCAGCCGCGGUAAUACGUAGGGGGCGAGCGUUGUCCGAAUUCACUGGGCGUAAAGCGCGCGUAGGCGGGUUUUUAAGUUGGUGGUGAAAUGCCGAGGCUCAACCUCGGAACUGCCUCCAAAACUGGGAGCCUUGAGGUAUGGAGAGGGAAGUGGAAUUCCUGGUGUAGCGGUGAAAUGCGUAGAUAUCAGGAGGAACACCUGUGGCGAAGGCGGCUUCCUGGCCAUAUCCUGACGCUGAGGUGCGAAAGCUAGGGGAGCGAACGGGAUUAGAUACCCCGGUAGUCCUAGCCGUAAACGAUG